UUGAACGCUGGCGGUAUGCUUUACACAUGCAAGUCGAACGGGCUUUGGGGCUUGCUCCAAAGUUAGUGGCGAACGGGUGAGUAACAUAUCGGAACAUAUCCGGAAGUGGGGGAUAACGUAGCGAAAGUUACGCUAAUACCGCAUAUGCCCUGAGGGGGAAAGGGGGGGAUCGCAAGACCUCUCGCUUUCGGAGUGGCCGAUAUCAGAUUAGCUAGUUGGUGAGGUAAAGGCUCACCAAGGCGACGAUCUGUAGCUGGUCUGAGAGGACGACCAGCCACACUGGAACUGAGACACGGUCCAGACUCCUACGGGAGGCAGCAGUGGGGAAUUUUGGACAAUGGGCGAAAGCCUGAUCCAGCCAUACCGCGUGAGUGAAGAAGGCCUUCGGGUUGUAAAGCUCUUUCAGCCGGAAAGAAAACGCACGGGUUAAUACCUUGUGUGGAUGACGGUACCGGAAGAAGAAGCACCGGCUAACUACGU
rnacentral:rRNA from 1 species